rnacentral:misc_RNA from 1 species
UCUCCGUAGGUGAACCUGCGGAGGGAUCAUUACAGAGUUCAUGCCUUACCGGGUAGAUCUCCCACCCUAUGUUAUUAUUACUUUGUUGCCUUGGCGGGCCGUUAGGCUCCGGCCCGACUACCGGCCCCGGCUGGUAAGCGCCCGCCAGAGGACCCAAAACCCUGAAUAUUAGUGUCGUCUGAGUACUAUAUAAUAGCUAAAACUUUCAACAACGGAUCUCUUGGUUCUG